rnacentral:lncRNA from 1 species
CUUCCUAAGCUAGGGUCCCCAGGAAUGGAUUCUGACUCACGGACUCUCCAGAGAGAGGGAGACGCUAAGCUGCAGAGCCAAGGGAGGUGGGGAGGACAGCAGCUGCUAUUGUUGUUUCUCUCUCGACCUUAUUAAGGCAAGAGGAGGACCCAUUGUGCUCCUAAUGAUUGCUGAGAUAUGAGAUGCUUCCAGAGGCUAAAACUUAUUUCUGAGAACCAGCCCACUCCAAUGACAGCCGGCCCCUUCCAGCUGCCUCCUUCCAGGGGCCUCCAACCUGCACCCUGCUCCAAAUUAGGAUGAUACCCCAUUGUUAUCACAGCUUGGAGAUUCCUGAUAUCUCUGCUCACACUCCCACUCCCACAAUGCCCCACUACAGGGAUGAGACUAAGCUGGAACCUCUUGGAAUUCUCUACAUCCAUUUGGACAACUGGAACCCCUCCCUCUACCAACAGCCAGUUUUCCAACUGGGCAAGUUUCCUCCAUAUUUAUCUCAGUGCCUCUUCCUCUUCCAGAAGCCUCCUGUCCCUGAGGUCCCAGCAUGCCUUGCAGCUAGUCAUGGCCAAGUUCUGACAUGUUCACACUUCCCCGAAAAAGAAAAAAUCAGCAGUAUAGCUUCUGGAGACUUGAUUAUUUAUGGGGCUUCAGUCUACUUGGAAAGCCUACAAAGAAAAACGACAAAGGAAUUUGAGUUGUGAUGAGUUAUGUUCAAUUCUCCUUUGCCAUUUACUAGCUGUAAGUCUCCAGGAAAGUUAACUUCACUGAGCUUCAGUUUUCUCAUUUGUAAACUGGGAAUUCCUUUCCUACCUUAAAGCUUUUG